rnacentral:rRNA from 1 species
AGGGCACCACCAGGAGUGGAGCCUGCGGCUUAAUUUGACUCAACACGGGAAAUCUCACCAGGCCCGGACACCGGAAGGAUUGACAGAUUGAGAGCUCUUUCUUGAUUCGGUGGGCGGUGGUGCAUGGCCGUUCUUAGUUGGUGGAGCGAUUUGUCUGGUUAAUUCCGAUAACGAACGAGACUCUGGCCUACUAACUAGACGUCGGAUCCCUUUGUGGGUCCGUCGCAGCUUCUUAGAGGGACGGGCGGCGUUUAGCCGCACGAGAUUGAGCAAUAACAGGUCUGUGAUGCCCUUAGGUGUUCUGGGCCGCACGCGCGCUACACUGAAGGUAUCAGCAUGUGUUCCCUAUUUGAAAGGAUUGGGCAACCCGUUGAAACACCUUCGUGAUGGGGAUUGGGGAUUGCAAUUAUUUCCCAUGAACGAGGAAUUCCCAGUAGGUGCGAGUCAUCAGCUUGCGCCGAUUACGUCCCUGCCCUUUGUACACACCGCCCGUCGCUACUACCGAUCGAGUGAUUUAGU